GUCUUAUGUUUUGAGAGUUGCUGGAAAGAUCCAUCGUGGAUUUAGAUCCCAUCUCUCCAAUUUCUAUCUAAAAGAUAGAGAAGGAAACACAAGUGUUGAACCUCCAAAAAUAUAUCAAAGGAUGAAUGGAGAGCAUUUGUUUUCAAACGUUCUGACCCCGCGUUUGUCCAUUAGCCGAUGCAUUUGGUACCUUUUUCCUUGACUCAAGUGGUAAAAACUCGAACAACACGGAGCAGACUUUCUCAACUAUGACAGUGGAGAAUAAGGAGAAGUAUCUAAUAUUUCUAUCUUCCCCUGUUCUCAUUUGGGAGCAUACACUUCGCAGAUGCUGAUUACUGUUAUUUUUAUUUUUCUUUUCUUCGAUUACUUUUAACCAUACUGGGAUUUUCAACUUGUGCAAAAUUAAAAUUGCCAAUAGGUCAAGAUAAGUUGUGGUAUUUUCUUUUCCUUUUUAUAUGAAAAUUAUUUAUGUGUGAAUCAUAACAUAUCUUUUGAAACAAUAAUGAUAAAAAUAACAUAAAAAAUGAUAUAGAAAUAGGAUGGACCUCACCAUCUAAACUUCCACAAUCAA